rnacentral:tRNA from 2 species
GCCGAGGUAGUCUAGUCCGGUAAGGCGGCGGUCUCGAAAACCGCUGGCGACUCGCCACGGGAGUUCAAAUCUCUCCCUCGGCGCCA